CAACGGGUCACCUCACCUGAAAUGCAGAGAGGUGUCCAUACUUCUUGUCCUAGUAACGUGGCCCCUCGCUGGCAGGUGGGGAUCCCAGGAGUCCCCCAGGAGACCCCAGACUCGUCAUGGCAUAUCUGAAGAGGCAACAGCCCUUCUGGGGUCCAGGCCUGCCCUGACCCUUCAUGGUCUGGUUAGACCAGCAGUGGGCACAGCCAGGCCACCUUUAGAGGAAUGGUGUGGCCACACAGUUGAGGUCUGGCCACUGUGGGGUGAGUGGGGCCCGGCUCAUAUAAAAUUCCUCUUGUGGGGUCCUUGGUGCUCUUUCCCUCAUUUGUGCCCCCUGGCACUGAUGUGGGCUGUUAUCUUGAAGUCCUGGUUUUUAGACAGAGGGAACUGGGGCCGAGAAAUCUGGUGGGAGGAUCGCCGCUGAACCUCGGGACCAGCUUCCCACCAGGCAGGGGGUGACGCAUCUGCCACAGCUUAGCCCUUACGUCCUGAGGGUUCAUUUGUUAUGCGGCCGGCACGGCCUGCUUCACAGAGAGGCUGAUCAGGACAUAAACUGUCACCAGUUCACCCCCUUUGAGGCUGAACUCCUUCCCAAGGGCUCUCAGACCUCCCAGCAGACACCAUGUCCCUCACCCUCACUCCAGACCCUCAGUCUGUACCCUAAUUUAAAUGAAUCCUGCAAAUGUUUGGAAAGGACUUGCUGAUAUCGUGAGUUGUUCUGGGUGCUUCCAGAAAACCCUGGAGCAAAACUGACCAAGUCCCGGAUGUCAGCCAGCUUUGCACUCCGGGGCUCUGUAUGUGGUAGCCUGUGCACGGAAAAGACACACACACACGCACACACGCACACACACACACACACACUUGAGCCCUGAGGGACAGCCAAUCGGGUGAGGAAUCAAAGGGAAGGGUGGCCACUGCUUUGCCUCUUUGAUAAGACAGCGAAUCCCAGAGGCAGCAGGGGAGUCGGGAGCCCGGUGGCGGAGGGCAUCGCGGGUAGAGGGGAGGGGCAUGCCGGCAGUUGGGGCAGGUACGUGGCCGGUGUGCGUGCUCCAGCGGAGGCCAGUGAGGGGGGUGGGCGAGGUCAGAGGGGCAUGGUGGGAGUAGAGGGGAGGUGUGUUCUGACCUGUUGUAAUAGGAUCACUCGAUCUUCUGUGGAGGGUGAAGGUGGAGGCCAGGAGACCAGCAGGAUGCUGCUCCCGUCCUGCGGGGGCACGACGGUCAUACCCUGAGGGCAGUGGGUGAGCUGGUGCUUGGGCUGAGGGAUCCAAGGCGAGCCCCUGCUUUCUGACCUGAGUCUUCGGGGGAGCGGGGCGUCUCUUACUGGGAUGGGCGAGACAGGUGCGGAGAUGCUGACAGUGAUGUUUUGGACCAGUUAGAUUUGGGGCUUUGGAGCUGGGCCCCCAGGACUCCUUCUACAGGAGGAGCAAGCCCCCUGGCUGAGAGCCACGCUCCUUCCAGCAGCUCUGACCCCCUUGGAACGUGGAUUUGCGCCUCAAAGCCCCCCUUGCCGAGCCGUCUAAUCGCUGAGUCUCGCUCCUUUGCUGUGCUGGUUCACUGCUUCCUGGCGUCUUCCUGUGCCUGUCCCCAGGGUAGGCGCUCCAGAACCUUCCCUGCAUCUCGGGGAGCCCCCUUCCUGCAGCCUGGUAUCUCGCCCCCUUGCUGUGCUGGUUCCCUGCUUCCUGGCGUCUUCCUGUGCCUGUCCCCAGGAAGAAAUGUGCUCCAAGGAUCCUUUUGAGCCUUUUCCUGUGAGAGGCCCUUUCAACAGGCAGAGAUGGGCAGAAACCUCACUUCCGUCUGCUCCCCAGGCCGGAGGAGACUGUCAGGCUGGGAAGGGGCUUGGAGGCUCGUGGAGGCCUCCAGCUGGGGUGGAGGCUUGCUCUGCUGACAGUGACGGGGGGCCCGCAGUGCCCCCCGCCUGUCUCCACGGCGUGUGCCCUGCUGGAAGUGUGUCUGCUGGGAAAGACCAGGGCUCCCCUCGGGGGAAGCACAGACCCGCCUCCCCCCACAGUGUGUCCUGCCUUCUGGUGAGUCUCCAUUUUCCCAGCAUGUGUUUGGGGUGUUGAAUUGUUCCCCUCUGAUGCAGGGUUCCCACUCGGGGCAUUGCAGAGCCGCUGGCAUUGACCAAGUGCCUGGGGCCUGGGACCCCACGGCCUCGGGUUCCGGGUGAACCUACCUGGGUACCUGGGUGCCUGCCCUGGCAUUGGAGCUCUCCCAGGCGGGACGCAGAUGGGCAGAGUCGUCCUCCCCCACGACUUUCACUGAGGGUGCAGGCAGAACCCCAACCAAACAGAAGGGUCAUCUUGCAAAAUCCCUGCGCUGGACACUGGAAGCCCUGCCCCGUAGGCUGAGCACAGGGACGCUGGUGAGGAAUCGACUGUCUGAAGCCUCAGUUUCCUUAUUUGUAAAACGGGAAGAUGAAAAUAAACAAACAAAUGCGGCUUUUGGCGGCUGCGCUAGGAUUGCGUGAAAAGAGCUACCCGCUGAGGCUGGCGUGCCCCAGGCACUCGGGAAGUGCGGAUUCGUGCCACGGAUGUGUUCAGCACAGGCCGCAAGUGCUGGCCAGGAGUAGGUUCUUGGCCUGGUCCUGUGCCCAGAGGCUCCUAGGAGCCAUUCCAGAGCUUUCUCAGGAACUCGAGCCAUAGUGGGAGGCCAUUCCUAGUGGGGUCUGUGGAGAGGGCCGGAGGGGUACCCACAGAGGACCUGGGGCCUGGGCCCUGAGGACAGUGCUCUCCGCCCCGUCAGACAUGCGUCCACAGGCACACAUGCCUGCUCUUCCUCCCUGAGAUGUUGUCCAUCUGUGCUUUCCCCUCACACUGCCAGCGCCGUGUUCCCCCACUGGACCCUGCCACCCUGGGACCUCAGUGAGUCGCACGCGCUCAGGGGUCCUGAGGGGGACCUGCAUCGCUGCUUGUCGACGAAGCCUCCUUGCCGCGCCCCAAGACUGAGGUGACGCAGACCUGCAGCCACCACGCUCAUGUCCUUUGGGGUUUCACCGUCCCCCCCGUGCCUCUGCCUGUGCAGGUAACACAAGCCACGGCUAACCUGACUUUAUCAAGAUUGACAAUGCUGAUUUCAGGGAAGGGAUUGGCAGAGCGGCAGGCCGGACAUUCAGUGCAGCCCCCAGGGCGUGGCCGGCACCCUCCCGUCUGGGAUUCAUUUUACACAAAACCAGAACCUCCACCUGGGAUUUGUCUCAGGACAGAAAAUGCGAGUGAAUCCUUUCCCGAAGCUGAAGCCUUCACAGGAGGCAGAGGGCUUGGAGCUCUUGAGAUCCACCCCCACCCUUUAUAAAUUAUGGGCCUGGGGCCCAGGGAGGGGACGGGAUUUGCCCACAAUCACAGCCGACGGCCCCCUCGGUGGAGCAGCGUGCACCUGGCAGCUGGCUCGCCCUGCCAGGAGGAAAGUGGAUCUGAUGGAUGACCCUCGCCUGAGUGAGAAAUAGGUUAAUGCAUCAUCUGGCCCGGGCUAUUGGCAUCCUCAUAGCAGAGGGGAAGGUGGACGAGUCUCCCACAGGGUCUUCUGGCUUCCUCAUCAGAGGACCUGCCCACGUCCUGGAGGUGACCGCCCUGCACCUUCCUGGAGGCUGCUCUCAGGCAUGGGAUGGAGGCAUGCGGCCUAUGAACCCUCCAGGAGGGCCUUAGGUGGGGCCUCUAAGAGGCCCACGGUGUCCAGGUGUCGCUCUGACUCACUGGCUUAUUGAGGCUGUGCCUGAGGGCCCCGGCUGGGGGAGGCACGCUGAGGCCCCAGGCGCAGGGGUCCUGGGGGAGGGGGACCAGCGUCCCAGAGCAAGGCCCAGGCAGGGAGCUCUCGGGGGGCCAGGUCCCUGGCCUCCAGGCUGCAGGGCUCAGCGCGAACCAGACCUGCUUACACCGCCAGGCACGUGGAGCCCAUGGGGGCUGAGUGUGGUCAAGGGGCACCCGUCCCAGCUCUCGCCCCAGCGUGGACACUCCGCCCCCAGACUCCAGGUGUGGGCGGAGCCCCGUCGGGCCCACUCUGUCCUGCCCUGCUUGCAGCUCAGCUUCUCUUCCCAAACUCCCCUGGCCUCUUCAGGUUCCUAACUGGCCUUCCAGGUGGAAACUGAAGUCCAAUUUCUGAGGCUUGCUGUCUCCAGCUGGGAACUGGAGGCCCUAAACGCAGCUCUCCAGUCAGCUGGGUUAGUCAUUCAGGGGUGACAUUAACCUUUCCUUUGUGGCACGCCGUUAUUAUUUUUAAUGUGUGUCUGCUUUGUGUCAGGCACCCCCUGAGGGCUGGAACGAGGGAAGAUGGUGCCCCCGAGCCUGGAGGAGGACAGGCACGUGAUGAGUGGAUGCAGCAGGGGCUGCUACUUCCGCCCAAAGAGGCCGAGGGAGCCCUAGAGGAGGGAAGGUUUCUUUCCUGGGGAAUAGCGUCCCUGCAGUGACAACGGCCUGUCACAGGCCUGGAGGGGUGUAAGGAGAGGAGGUGAGGGUUGUUUUCCAUGAGAAGGCUUGAGAGCGGGACAAGUGAGAUGCCUGUGUUGAUUGGACCAGGCACCCGCCGGCUCAGGCGCUGUCACCGUGGUUGGGACACGGUCGUGGUGCCGAAGGAGGGUGCGGGCUGAAGCCCCAGAGCUGUUGUAGGGUCCUGACCGCUGCGGAAACUACUUCUAAUUCAUCCAGGAAUCCUGCGGGUGCCAUCUUUGAAAUCAAGCCAUCGUGCAAAUCUCUCCCCACCCAAGAGUCAGCACCGCGGUCAACAUCUCCAUCAGCGCCAGGACAGCCUGCAGUGGUGUCCUGUCUAGUCAACUCUGCCCACCUUCUGAGUCUCUGCCAGCGCUCAGAGGGACCCUGUAAAAAGCAAGCAGUCCUGUCACUGCACCGUGGGGCCCCUCCCAGGGGCUCCUGUCUCACGCACGAUAAACACAAAGCAAACCCCGAGGCCCGCCAGCCCUCGCGGUCUGGCCUCUCUGCUCUCGACCUCAUCCACGCCUCUACCACUGGCCGCGCCCUGCAGCAAGGAUGGGCACCUGCUGUCCUGAACAUACGGGGCAGCUUCUCCCGUGGUGGUUGUGGGGGGGGCGGUGCAUUUUCUCCUCCGUCUGGAGCAGCAACAGUUGUGAUAUCCUUCUUGCCUCUUUGCGAUAGGUGCCCUCCCUAUUCACACGCAGCCCUCCCGUGGGUUCUCCCACCUUCAUGGCCUUCCCUCCUCCGUGGGACCCAGGCCCUCUGUGGCAGACAGGCCUGAGCAGGCCCACCUCCUGGAGUUCUCACCCUGGGGUGAGCCCCUCCCCAGGUGUGGGCAGGACCUGUGACCACCUCUGCCUACAGAAGGUGCCCCGGGUGCUGGGGCCUUGCUUGCGGCUGACAGACGUGAGACCGCCUUGUUGCACACUCAGCCUAGAGUCUUGCUGUUGUCUGCUUUGGAUAACUAAGCUGUCUGCAAGUGCACGUAAGUUCGCCAAAGCAUGAGUGAGUGAAGAUGGGGACGAGAACGCAGCCUGGCCCACACCUGGAUCGCUGCCUGAGCGGAAAGCCCAGCUCGGCGGUGCCAGGGCUCCUGGCCACAGACGCCAAGAGAUGGUCAGCUUGUGUGUCUGCAGCUGUUGAGCAUGCGGUAGUUGUCAGGCAGUGAUAAAGAGCCAUUACACCUUCUAGCCUCUGUGUGUUUCCCUUGUUUAUUUCUGCUGCCUGUCCCCCCAGCACAGGGGAGGCCUGAGAGGGUGAAGACCUUUGUCCCUUGGCUCUGCUGCAUCUCCAGGGCCUGAGUACACAUAGAACUGUAGGUGCUCCGUAAAUGUGUGUUGAAUGAGGUGACAUUUCAUUGCUUUUAUGCAGAUAAGAAAUAGAUAAGGGGAGAAAUAUUAUGGGCCGCAAAAUGCAGAAUGUUUCUGUUCUACAGACACAGCAGUGACGUCCCAUAUAGUUAUUUAUUUUUUUUUCUGUAACCUCAUUUUAAGGGCAUUCCUUGUCUCAAAUAGAAACACAGGAUGGAAUUGUUGGAAGGGGACUUGGUGACUGCAAGCUGAGCCCUCAUUUUAUAGAUGAGGGAAAAGACUUGCUUAGGGUCACACAGCGAGCGAGGGAGCGAGUGAAUACUGUGCACAGAAAAGGAGACAGAACAGAAACUGAGCCAGCUUCCCCGCCCAGGGCCCUCCCCCGAGCCCGAGAAACCCCAUGCAGGAGGCCGUGAAGCCCAGCCCCUCUGUCCUCCUUAACCGGGUUCGCCAGUUCGGGUUGUGUUGGACUCCAGCGAUCGGCCCUCCACGGCAGCCACCGCCUACGUCUGCGUUCCCGGCCCUCUGCUGUUCCUCUCUCCAGCGGGGAGUCUCUCUCUCCCCUUCUUGACUCUAGACGGGCCUUUGCAAUUUGUUUCAUCCAUUGGAUGCAGAAGGAGGGACAUUCCAGAGCUUCGGAGGCCAGUUCAGAAAAACUUGAAGCUCCUGCCUCGGCCUCUUGGAAGCUUGCCUCUGACGGCCCUGGGACACUAAGUAAGAAUUCCUGCUACCCACUGGGAGUCACCUGGAGAGGACUGGGCCUCCCGGGAAGGAGAGGGGCCCACAGGGGGCCAACCCUGCUCUGUGCCCGCCAAGGUCCAGGCCUGUGGAUGGAGCAGCUGAAUUCAUAGGCUGAGCCCAGCUGCUGCCAUGUAGGGCAGACCAGUAGUCCUUCUUGAAUUCCUGACCUUCAAAGU